UACGUAGGGGGCAAGCGUUGUCCGGAAUUACUGGGCGUAAAGCGCGCGCAGGCGGCUUUUUAAGUCCGUUGGUGAAAUGCCGGGGCUCAACCCCGUGCCCGCCAGGGAUACUGGAGAGCUGGAGACGAGUAGAGGCAAGCGGAAUUCCGGGUGUAGCGGUGGAAUGCGUAGAGAUCCGGAAGAACACCGGAGGCGAAGGCGGCUUGCUGGGCUCGGUCUGACGCUGAGGCGCGAAAGCGUGGGGAGCGAACAGG
rnacentral:rRNA from 1 species